UAGGGAAUCUUCCGCAAUGGGCGAAAGCUUGACGGAGCAACGCCGCGUGAGUGAUGAAGGUCUUCGGAUCGUAAAACUCUGUUAUUAGGGAAGAACAAAUGCGUAAGUAACUAUGCACGUCUUGACGGUACCUAAUCAGAAAGCCACGGCUAACUACGUGCCAGCAGCCGCGGUAAUACGUAGGUGGCAAGCGUUAUCCGGAAUUAUUGGGCGUAAAGCGCGCGUAGGCGGUUUUUUAAGUCUGAUGUGAAAGCCCACGGCUCAACCGUGGAGGGUCAUUGGAAACUGGAAAACUUGAGUGCAGAAGAGGAAAGUGGAAUUCCAUGUGUAGCGGUGAAAUGCGCAGAGAUAUGGAGGAACACCAGUGGCGAAGGCGACUUUCUGGUCUGUAACUGACGCUGAUGUGCGAAAGCGUGGGGAUCAAACAGG
rnacentral:rRNA from 1 species